CACGUAGGGCGCAAGCGUUGUCCGGAAUUAUUGGGCGUAAAGGGCUCGUAGGCGGUUUGUCGCGUCGGGAGUGAAAACUCAGGGCUUAACCCUGAGCCUGCUUCCGAUACGGGCAGACUAGAGGUAUGCAGGGGAGAAUGGAAUUCCUGGUGUAGCGGUGAAAUGCGCAGAUAUCAGGAGGAACACCGGUGGCGAAGGCGGUUCUCUGGGCAGUAACUGACGCUGAGGAGCGAAAGCGUGGGGAGCGAACAGG
rnacentral:rRNA from 1 species